GAUGAAGAACGUAGCGAAAUGCGAUAAGUAAUGCGAAUUGCAGAAUUCAGUGAGUCAUCGAAUCUUUGAACGCACAUUGCGCCCCUUGGUAUCCCGAGGGGCAUGCCUGUUCGAGCGUCAUUUCACCACUCAAGCCUGGCUUGGUGUUGGGCGACGUCCCCUUUGGGGACGCGCCUCGAAACGCUCGGCGGCGUGGCACCGGCUUUAAGCGUAGCAGAAUCUUUCGCUUUGGAAGUCGGGGCCCCGUCUGCCGGAAGACCUACUCGCAAGGUUGACCUCGGAUCAGGCAGGGAUACCCGCUGAACUUAAGCAUAUCAAUAAGCGGAGGA
rnacentral:misc_RNA from 1 species